rnacentral:tRNA from 1 species
GUGGUUGUAGUUCAGUGGUAGAGCAUUUGCUUAGCAUGUGUGAGGCACUGGGUUCAAUUCUCAGCACCACA